AGGAAAGUGCUGGAGACAGACACCCUCUAUCCACAGCAAAGACACGGAACAGGCAGUACUUUCCCCAGGCUGCCCCACACAUAGGCCUCAGCCCUGCCACCCUACUUGUAGGGGUUGAGAAGAGAGUUGAGUCUCCAUGGCCCAUUCAACCCUUGGCAUCU
rnacentral:sRNA from 1 species